GCCAGACUCCUACGGGAGGCAGCAGUGGGGAAUAUUGGGCAAUGGGCGCAAGCCUGACCCAGCAACGCCGCGUGAAGGAAGAAGGCUUUCGGGUUGUAAACUUCUUUUGUCAGGGACGAAGCAAGUGACGGUACCUGACGAAUAAGCCACGGCUAACUACGUGCCAGCAGCCGCGGUAAUACGUAGGUGGCAAGCGUUAUCCGGAUUUAUUGGGUGUAAAGGGCGUGUAGGCGGGAAUGCAAGUCAGAUGUGAAAACUAUGGGCUCAACCCAUAGCCUGCAUUUGAAACUGUAUUUCUUGAGUGAUGGAGAGGCAGGCGGAAUUCCGUGUGUAGCGGUGAAAUGCGUAGAUAUACGGAGGAACACCAGUGGCGAAGGCGGCCUGCUGGACAUUAACUGACGCUGAGGCGCGAAAGCGUGGGGAGCAAACAGGAUUAGAUACCCGAGUA
rnacentral:rRNA from 1 species